rnacentral:misc_RNA from 1 species
GAUGAAGAACGUAGCGAAAUGCGAUAAGUAAUGCGAAUUGCAGAAUUCCAGUGAGUCAUCGAAUCUUUGAACGCACAUUGCGCCCUUUGGUAUUCCGAAGGGCAUGCCUGUUCGAGCGUCAUUAUCACCCCUCAAGCCCUCGGCUUGGUGUUGGACGGUUUGGUGGAGGCCCCCUCGGGGGUUCCUGCCCCUCCCAAAGACAAUGACGGCGGCCUCGUUGGACCCCCGGUACACUGAGUUCUUCACGGGACACGUAUCGGACACAUGGGUUUACGGGACACGGUCUGCCUCCCCUCAGGGAGAAUCUUUCUAAGGUUGACCUCGGAUCAGGUAGGGAUACCCGCUGAACUUAAGCAUAUCAAUAAGCGGAGA